rnacentral:rRNA from 1 species
CGAUGAACCUCACUUCGGGAGGGGAUUAGUGGCGAACGGGUGAGUAACACGUGGGCAAUCUGCCCUGCACUCUGGGACAAGCCCUGGAAACGGGGUCUAAUACCGGAUACGACUACCGAACGCAUGUCCUGGGGGUGGAAAGCUCCGGCGGUGCAGGAUGAGCCCGCGGCCUAUCAGCUUGUUGGUGAGGUAACGGCUCACCAAGGCGACGACGGGUAGCCGGCCUGAGAGGGCGACCGGCCACACUGGGACUGAGACACGGCCCAGACUCCUACGGGAGGCAGCAGUGGGGAAUAUUGCACAAUGGGCGCAAGCCUGAUGCAGCGACGCCGCGUGAGGGAUGACGGCCUUCGGGUUGUAAACCUCUUUCAGCAGGGAAGAAGCGCAAGUGACGGUACCUGCAGAAGAAGCGCCGGCUAACUACGUGCCAGCAGCCGCGGUAAUACGUAGGGCGCAAGCGUUGUCCGGAAUUAUUGGGCGUAAAGAGCUCGUAGGCGGCUUGUCGCGUCGGUUGUGAAAGCCCGGGGCUUAACCCCGGGUCUGCAGUCGAUACGGGCAGGCUAGAGUUCGGUAGGGGAGAUCGGAAUUCCUGGUGUAGCGGUGAAAUGCGCAGAUAUCAGGAGGAACACCGGUGGCGAAGGCGGAUCUCUGGGCCGAUACUGACGCUGAGGAGCGAAAGCGUGGGGAGCGAACAGGAUUAGAUACCCUGGUAGUCCACGCCGUAAACGGUGGGCACUAGGUGUGGGCCACAUUCCACGUG